rnacentral:rRNA from 1 species
GUAAGUAACCUGCCCCUAAGUGGGGAAUAACUCUGAGAAAUCGGAGCUAAUACCGCAUGUGGUCCUUUCUUGAUGAGGAAGGAUUAAAGCCUUUGGGUGCUUGGGGAUGGGCUUGCGUCCGAUUAGCUAGUUGGUAGGGUAAUGGUCUACCAAGGCGAUGAUCGGUAGCUGGUUUGAGAGGAUGGUCAGCCACACUGGGACUGAGAUACGGCCCAGACUCCUACGGGAGGCAGCAGCAAGGAAUAUUGUGCAAUGGGCGAAAGCCUGACACAGCGACGUCGCGUGGGGGAUGAAGGCCCUCGGGUUGUAAACCCCUUUUCUCAGGGAAGAAUAAUGACGGUACCUGAGGAAUAAGUCGUGGCUAACUACGUGCCAGCAGCCGCGGUAAUACGUAGGCGGCAAGCGUUAUCCGGAUUUAUUGGGCGUAAAGAGGGCGUAGGCGGUUUUUCAAGUCGAUUGUGAAAUCUCCCGGCUUAACUGGGAGAGGCCAGUCGAUACUGUUAGACUAGAGGGCAGCAGGGGGAGGUGGAAUUCCCGGUGUAGUGGUGAAAUGUGUAGAUAUCGGGAGGAACACCAGUGGCGAAGGCGGCCUCCUAGGCUGUUUCUGACGCUGAGGUCCGAAAGCGUGGGGAGCAAACAGGAUCAGAUACCCUGGUAGUCCACGCUGUAAACGAUGGGCACUAAGUAGAGGAAACUACCGAUGUUUUCUCUGCCGUAGCAAACGCAUUAAGUGCCCCGCCUGGGGGAGUACGGCCGCAAGGCUAAAACUCAAAAGAAUUGACGGGGGCUCGCACAAGCGGUGGAGCAUGUGGCUUAAUUCGAUGCAACGCGAAAAA